rnacentral:rRNA from 1 species
AUGGCGGCGGAAGGCAAGGUCCCGACGCUGGCCGAGGAAUAUUCACUCCCACCCAAGGAGGUCCCUGUGGAAAAACCAGCUGAGGAGAAAUCUGCUACGAUCACUGAGGCCUCACCAGCUGAUGAGCCUGCUGCUGAUGUUGAGGAAAAAAGUGAAACUCCUGAGGUGAAAGAGCCAGAAGCGGAAGAAACUGUUCCUGCUGCAGAGGAAAGCGAUGCGGCUCCUGAGGAAACUGAAGAGAAACCAGAAAUUGUGAUUGAGACGGCUCCAGCAGAUUUUCGUUUCCCCACAACAAAUCAAACAAGACAUUGCUUCACACGCUAUGUUGAAUACCAUAGGUGCGUAGCUGCAAAAGGAGAUGAUGCUCCUGAGUGUGAAAAGUUUGCAAAGUACUACCGAUCACUAUGCCCAAGUGAAUGGGUUGAACGUUGGAACGAGCAACGGGAGAAUGGUACGUUCCCUGGACCCCUGUAA